UACGGAGGGUGCAAGCGUUAAUCGGAAUUACUGGGCGUAAAGCGCACGCAGGUGGCUGAGUCAGUCGAUUGUGAAAGCCCUGGGCUUAGCCUGGGAAUUGCAGUCGAUACUACUCAGCUAGAGUAUGGGAGAGGGUAGUGGAAUUCCCGGUGUAGCGGUGAAAUGCGUAGAUAUCGGGAGGAACAUCAGUGGCGAAGGCGGCUACCUGGCCUGUUCUUGACGCUGAGGCGCGAAAGCUGGGGGAGCAAACGGG
rnacentral:rRNA from 1 species